GAAACUGCUGUUUAUACAUUAAUGCCAAUGGUUAUGGCUGAUCAACACAGAUCUGUUUCCGAACUACUAUCAAAUUCAAAGUUUGAUGUUAAUUAUGCAUUUGGACGUGUGAAAAGAAGCUUGCUUCACAUUGCAGCAAAUUGUGGAUCUGUGGAAUGCUUGGUUCUGCUGUUAAAGAAAGGAGCAAAUCCUAACUAUCAAGAUAUUUCAGGCUGUACACCACUUCAUUUGGCAGCUAGAAAUGGGCAGAAGAAAUGCAUGAGUAAAUUAUUAGAAUACAGUGCUGAUGUCAACAUUUGUAAUAAUGAAGGCCUUACAGCAAUACACUGGCUGGCUGUGAAUGGGCGGACAGAGCUACUCCAUGACCUUGUACAGCACGUCAGUGACGUCGAUGUUGAGGACGCAAUGGGGCAGACAGCGCUGCAUGUAGCCUGCCAGAAUGGUCACAAGACGACAGUGCAAUGCUUGCUAGACAGUGGUGCUGAUAUUAACAGGCCAAAUGUAUCAGGAGCCACUCCAUUGUACUUUGCUUGCAGUCAUGGUCAGAGAGACACAGCACAGAUUCUUCUAUUACGAGGAGCCAAAUACCUGCCAGAUAAAAAUGGAGUCACCCCUCUGGAUUUAUGUGUACAAGGUGGAUAUGGAGAGACCUGUGAAGUAUUAAUUCAAUAUCACCCUAGGCUUUUCCAGACAAUUAUUCAAAUGACACAGAAUGAAGAUCUUCGAGAAAACAUGUUACGGCAAGUUCUAGAACAUUUGUCUCAGCAAAGUGAAAGCCAGUACCUAAGGAUUUUAACAAGCCUUGCUGAGGUUGCCACAACAAAUGGUCAUAAACUGCUUAGCCUGUCUAGUAAUUAUGAUGCUCAAAUGAAGAGCCUUUUAAGGAUUGUGAGGAUAUUUUGUCAUGUCUUUCGAAUUGGUCCUUCCUCUCCCAGUAAUGGAAUCGAUAUGGGCUACAACGGGAAUAAAACACCAAGAAGCCAGGUGUUCAAGGUCAGAAAAGUAUAUGACGUUGUUAUGAAGAUAGACGUAAAAGAGAUGAAUUUGACAAAGCAUGCUUUCAUUAAUCAGAAACCUCAUACACAGGACCCUCUCGAAUUGCUUUGGCACUCAUUAGAUGAAUGGCUAGUUUUAAUAGCUACAGAACUGAUGAAAAACAAAAAGGACUCAACGGAUAUCACUUCUAUUUUACUAAAACAAAAAGGCCAAGAUCAAGAUGGUACUUCCAUUCCUCCAUUUGAACCUCCAGGACCUGGGAGCUAUGAAAAUCUAUCCACUGGUACCAGGGAAUCUAAACCAGAUGCUCUAGGAGGGAAACAGGAAGCCGGUGCAGACUGUCAGGAUGUUAUUUCUAUGACAGCUAACCGGCUAAGUGCUGUCAUUCAAGCUUUUUACAUGUGCUGUUCUUGUCAGAUGCCUCCAGGAAUGACUUCACCCCGUUUCAUCGAAUUUGUCUGCAAACACGAUGAAGUCUUAAAAUGCUUUGUUAACAGAAAUCCCAAAAUUAUAUUUGACCACUUUCACUUUCUCCUUGAAUGUCCUGAGUUGAUGUCAAGAUUUAUGCAUAUCAUAAAAGCACAGCCAUUUAAAGAUCGCUGUGAAUGGUUUUAUGAACAUUUGCAUUCAGGACAAGCAGAUUCAGACAUGGUGCAUAGACCAGUGAGUGAGAAUGACAUCCUGCUGGUUCACAGAGAUUCCAUUUUUAGGAGUAGCUGUGAAGUCGUGUCAAAAGCAAAUUGUGCAAAGCUAAAGCAAGGAAUUGCUGUACGGUUCCAUGGAGAAGAAGGCAUGGGUCAAGGCGUUGUGCGUGAAUGGUUUGAUAUUCUGUCUAAUGAGAUAGUCAAUCCUGAUUAUGCAUUGUUUACCCAGUCAGCUGAUGGAACAACUUUUCAGCCUAAUAGCAACUCCUAUGUAAAUCCUGAUCACUUGAACUAUUUCCGUUUUGCUGGACAGAUCUUGGGAUUAGCUUUGAACCAUAGGCAGCUGGUCAACAUUUACUUCACAAGAUCAUUCUAUAAGCACAUUCUUGGUAUUCCUGUAAAUUACCAAGAUGUGGCAUCUAUUGAUCCAGAAUAUGCCAAGAAUUUGCAGUGGAUUUUAGAUAAUGAUAUUAGUGAUCUGGGUCUAGAACUGACUUUUUCUGUUGAGACUGAUGUGUUUGGAGCAAUGGAAGAGGUACCUUUGAAACCUGGGGGUGGAAGUAUUCUGGUGACACAAAAUAACAAAGAGGAGUAUGUCCAGCUUGUUACAGAACUUCGAAUGACAAGAGCCAUUCAACCUCAGAUCAAUGCUUUUCUCCAAGGCUUUCAUAUGUUCAUUCCACCUUCCCUCAUACAGCUGUUUGAUGAAUUUGAGUUGGAGCUACUGCUUUCUGGCAUGCCAGAAAUUGAUGUGAGUGAUUGGAUAAAAAAUACAGAAUACACUAGUGGCUAUGAAAGACAAGAUCCAGUUAUUCAGUUCCAGGGUCCCACAUGGUGGAUUUGCUAAUAUCAUGGGUGGAAGUGGAUUGCAAAACUUUACAAUCGCUGCUGUGCCAUAUACUCCAAAUCUUCUACCGACUUCAAGCACAUGCAUCAACAUGCUCAAGUUACCUGAAUACCCAAGUAAAGAAAUACUCAAGGACAGACUUCUUGUGGCACUGCAUUGUGGCAGCUAUGGCUACACAAUGGCAUAGUGGAGUCUGGAAAGCUCAUCUGACUGCUGAUGCACAGUCCGAGUGGCAGAAGUAAUUUAGGAAAUGUCAACAGAAAAGCAGCCUCAAGGCAGUUCAUGGGCAGGGCUGUUUAAAAUUCAUCAAGAAUCAGGUUUUCUCCCCUGCCCCUUUUCCCUUUUAUGUUUUCUCAGUUUGUGAUACACUUAGAAAAUAGAAAAUCACAGUAGCCUUCAUUUUAAAGAAUGCUAACUGAAAGUAGUAGAAAUUGUCCUUAUAUUUCUUUAAUCUUAUUCAAGAUUGUAUUAAGGCAAAAUCUUGUUUUACAUUCCACCUCUGCUAUGUAACUGUCUUGUUUAAAGGAUGUUUUCUCUUUACUUUUCUGUAUAUUAAAAUAUAGUAGGACAUCCAACCUGGUAUGUCCUAUCGCAUGUAAAGUGCCAUUUAUAUUUUGAAAAACUAUUGUAUAGAAUGGAUUAAUUGAAAUUGUGUAUAAAGCCACAAAUAUGUAUUUUCCCAUAUUGAAUCUAUAUUGCAAUGAUGUUUUCUAGCUUUUUAAUAUUUUACUAUGUAAUGUAAAGUUUAGACUGAUGUGACUAACAAACAGCUGAUGAAAUGAUAUCUAAUUUAUAUAUUAAAGUUUAUACUAUAUUGUAUGAAUUAUUUGCAUUUUUCAGUGGUCAAUUUUCCAUAUAUAUUGUGGUCUCAUAGCUUUUCUUAUGCCUUAAUUUAUAUUUUAGGUAAACCUAAAAUAUAAUAUCUUAUCAUUUUUUAUUUUAUCAGUGAAUUCUGAUGACACAUUUAAAUAAUCUGAUGUGCAGAUUACGAUUUAAAUAUGUAAGUUUUUCUUAAAUUUGCUUUUUAUGAUUAAAAUGUUGAGUUCCAGUGAAUAUGCCUAAUGUAGAGUGUUAGUUUUUAAAUUUUAGGGUGAUCUAAUCAGUUUUUAUUUUGAAAAGACACACUUGAGUAGUUACAGUAUACCUUUUAGGAGGAAGUAGGAACGUGCACAUAGUUAGAAGUGCUAAUGGAGGGAUUUGUAAUGCUUAGGACUUUGCAUCUGGAAACCAAAAGUAGACUCUCCAAUAGCAUAUCCAUGGAUAUGCAUACCUGUGCAUAUUUCCUCAUGAGCAGCCGGUAUAUUUGUCACUGACAAAUAUUGACAAUGUAUAUGUCAAUACAGACAAAUAUUUAAUUUGUAUAUAUGUAUAUAGACAUAUACAUUGAAAGCUUUGCUAAUUUAUAAAGUUUCUCUAAUAUGC